CUUCUGUACUCUUUUGCUAUCUUACUGUAGAAUCACAAACAUAUCAAACUGUAAAACCAUUGAGCAGGCCUUGCUCUGUUUUUGUGCAGGAAGAGACCCAAGGAGCAAGGAAUGUAUACUUACCAGAAACUUACUAUAGACCCAGCAUGAUAUUUAGUUAUGAAUAAUACAGAGAAGGAAACCUGGACCUUGUUUUCAAGAAAUUCAGUUGGUUCCAGGCACCAAGCACUGAACUAAGUGCUUUAUUAACAUGAUCUAAUCCAUUUCCCGGGGGCUGCUGGAGAUGUUGGCUAACUGCGUUUACCCUCCGGAUCUCUCAUUCUAGGUUUUCAUACUCUGCACACCAUCCUUGGGGUCCAGUGUCUCCCUUUGCAUAACCUGCUGCAUUGCAUUGACAGUGGAGUGUUGCUUCUCACUGAAACAGCUGUCAUAAGGCUCAUGAAAGAUCUGGACAAUACAGAGAAAAAUGAAAAACUGAAAUUCAGUAUCAUUGUGCGGCUUCCUCCGCUUAUUGGUCAGAAGAUUUGUAGACUUUGGGAUCAUCCUAUGAGUUCUAACAUCAUUUCACGGAACCACGUGACGCGACUGCUUCAGAACUAUAAGAAACAGCGUCGGAAUUCUAUGAUUGACAAGUCAUCGUUCAGUGUAGAAUUUCUGCCUCUGAACUACUUCAUUGAAAUUCUGACAGAUAUAGAGUCCUCCAAUCAAGCCCUGUAUCCUUUUGAAGGACGUGACAAUGUGGAUGCAGAAUUUGUAGAGGAAGCAGCUCUGAAACACACCACGAUGCUUUUAGGCUUAUGAAAAAGAAAACGCAAUUGGAUCUG
rnacentral:sRNA from 1 species